AGACUUUAGGUCAUUGGUUCAAUGUCUAGGCCAAUCGCAGUGGCGUAAAAUCAAGGCCAAUUACGCUGGCUUGCCCAUACUGACUCUUUGGCAGGUGUCUUGGGCAAUAAAUUCAGCUUUCCAGAUUUCAAAUGCCAUUUUAACUGAGAGAGAAGGAUUACCUCACUCCUUUCCGAUCAGUUUGCUAUACCGAGAUCACCUAGACGCAGCCUGUCGUCUGUCAACUUUGAUUAUGGUCUGAAGGACUGUUUUAAUCAGCCUGUCGCUGUUAGCAAAUCUGAUUGACUCAUGAUCUGGAAUCGUCUUCAACGGCCACGUAGAUUGCACAUGCGGUUAAUUUGUCAAUUUCAAUUAUUUGAAUGAAUUAAUUUUAUUAAGUAAUUAAGUAACCUUAUUUAUUUUGAAUAUUACGAAUUACACAUUUAUGGGGUUUCGACAUGGUCCGAAUAUUCCCUUCCAAUGUUGCUCUUUGAUUAAGCCCAUCGAAAGCUACAAAUUGAUAGAUAACUAAUAGAAAAUCAUUUUCAUGUACACAUACUUAUAUAGUAAAUGUAUUUCUUUGUAUAUUGUGCAUAUUUGUAAUAAUUUGAAUUGUAAUUUAGAAUAAAUGAUUGAGUUACAAUUUUAUCUUCGUUUAUGUCACUUGUUGUAUUGUAGAUAUAGUAAGUUUCGUAUAAGUUCAGGAAGGAUUGUGUUUUCAAUAUUUCAUUGAAUUGUAGAUUUUGCCUUGAUUCGGCAUGGACCCAAAUACUUAUUAAUUGCAAUUUGAACCAUUUUGAAUUUAGAUUUUUAUAUAAUAAAUAUAAUCAUGUUAUCAUUCUUGUGUAGAAAAAAAAACAAUAAAAUGAAUAAAUAAAUGUUCAAAGAAAUGUAUCUUACGUUAGGGAGAGGAAAAGGGUUGUGUUAGGGUUUUUGUGAUAUGAACAUUUGUAUUUCUAAGAUUAUGGCAGUAAUGUUGUCUUACUUAUAAUUUUUUUUUUUCAAUUGUCAUAGAAUUAGAUUAGCAAUUGUUUUGGUGUUUGUUUGUUUGUACAAAAACGUUUUUUUAUAAAUGCACUGAUUUGUUUGUAUUUGAGCAAGAUGACUUGAAAGUCAGCAUGAAGCUGUUGAGUUUCAAUAAAUUUAUUUCUGCACUGAAAA